rnacentral:rRNA from 1 species
AAUGAACGCUGGCGGCGUGGAUUAGGCAUGCAAGUCGAACGAGAAAGCUUCCUUCGGGGAGUGAGUACAGUGGCGAACUGGUUAGUAACAGGUGGGGAACGUACCUCGAAAACGGGGAUAACUAUUGGAAACAGUAGCUAAUACCCGAUGUGACUGCGGAGACUUCGGUUUCUGUCGUUAAAGAUGUUUCAUUUAUGUAAUGUUGAUUCGAGAUCGUCCCGCCCCCGAUUAGCUUGAUGGUAAGGUAAUGGCUUACCAUGGCUACGAUCGGUAGUUGAUCUGAGAGGAUGUUCAGCAACACUGGGACUGAGAUACGGCCCAG